GCCCAGGCAAACGCAGUAGGCCUGCCCUCCUCCCGCUGUUAGCAUGUUAGCACGUAUGGCUCCCAGGAAAUGUUUGUUCGGGUGUGCCUAAAGAGGCAAGAAUCAGGCAGAAGUUGUUGGAGUUGCUGAUUCCCGGCCAGGAAGAGAAAAAUAUGCUCAUCUGUCAACGACAUCUCACACGGGACUGUUAUGUGAGCAUGGGCCAAUACCAAGCUGGACUAUCCGCCAAACUGUUGCUGAAGUCGGACGCCUUUCCAACGUUACUCGGUCGUGUUAAAGAGUCACAACAGCAAGCUUUUUUCUGGAUGCAGCCUGCAGUUUGGACACGCUGUCAGUUUGUUUAGGCAGUACUGAUUGCAGCCUCUGGGUGUCACUGCAGGACAAUGCCUGUCCUUCAACUCUUGCCUGACGAGUUUCCAUUAAAAAAAAUGCUGGUGUGUGUGUGUUUUUAGAUCAUGACAUACAUAUACACAAAUACGUAUAAUGAAGAUUAUUUAUAUAGAGAGCUCAAAUACCUAAUCUAUCCUUUACGCUACAGCCUCUCAGUAAUGCAGCUUCUCACAACACUUACAUAGUAAUGAGGCAUUUAAGGUGUAAUUACAUCUCAUUCUUCUUGCACAUCUCAGCUGUAUGGGAGAUUUAAUGGUCCCCCAUCCCGCUUGACUUUCAAAAUGGGUCACAUUUUCAUCAUUGAUCCAUCAAAUAAUAUGAUAACAUGAUUAAAUCAGGUGCACACUGGUACAGUAAAGUUCACCACUGGUCACAGUCAAUUUCAGGUCUGAUAUUAGCCAGUAAGCCAGUUAUGUGUUGGAAU